CGCGUAGGCGGACAGUUAAGUCAGAGGUGAAAGCCCAGGGCUCAACCUUGGGACUGCCUUUGAUACUGGCUGUCUUGAGUUCGGGAGAGGUGAGUGGAAUGCCGAGUGUAGAGGUGAAAUUCGUAGAUAUUCGGCGGAACACCAGUGGCGAAGGCGACUCACUGGCCCGAUACUGACGCUGAGGCUCGAAAGCGUGGGAGCAAACA
rnacentral:rRNA from 1 species